rnacentral:rRNA from 1 species
CGGUUAAGUUAGAAAGGGCGCACGGUGGAUGCCUUGGCACUAGGAGCCGAUGAAGGACGGGACGAACACCGAUAUGCUUCGGGGAGCUGUAAGCAAGCUUUGAUCCGGAGAUUUCCGAAUGGGGAAACCCACCACUCGUAAUGGAGUGGUAUCCAUAUCUGAAUACAUAGGAUAUGAGAAGGCAGACCCGGGGAACUGAAACAUCUAAGUACCCGGAGGAAGAGAAAGCAAAUGCGAUUCCCUGAGUAGCGGCGAGCGAAACGGGAUCAGCCCAAACCAAGAGGCUUGCCUCUUGGGGUUGUAGGACACUCUGUACGGAGUUACAAAGGAACGAGGUAGAUGAAGAGGUCUGGAAAGGCCCGCCAUAGGAGGUAACAGCCCUGUAGUCAAAACUUCGUUCUCUCCUGAGUGGAUCCUGAGUACGGCGGAACACGUGAAAUUCCGUCGGAAUCCGGGAGGACCAUCUCCCAAGGCUAAAUACUCCCUAGUGACCGAUAGUGAACCAGUACCGUGAGGGAAAGGUGAAAAGCACCCCGGAAGGGGAGUGAAAGAGAUCCUGAAACCGUGUGCCUACAAGUAGUCAGAGCCCGUUAACGGGUGAUGGCGUGCCUUUUGUAGAAUGAACCGGCGAGUUACGAUCCCGUGCAAGGUUAAGCAGAAGAUGCGGAGCCGCAGCGAAAGCGAGUCUGAAUAGGGCGAAUUGAGUACGUGGUCGUAGACCCGAAACCAGGUGAUCUACCCAUGUCCAGGGUGAAGUUCAGGUAACACUGAAUGGAGGCCCGAACUCACGCACGUUGAAAAGUGCGGGGAUGAGGUGUGGGUAGGGGUGAAAUGCCAAUCGAACCUGGAGAUAGCUGGUUCUCUCCGAAAUAGCUUUAGGGCUAGCCUCAAGGUAAGAGUCUCGGAGGUAGAGCACUGAUUGGACUAGGGGCCCCUACCGGGUUACCGAAUUCAGUCAAACUCCGAAUGCCGAUGACUUAUCCUUGGGAGUCAGACUGCGAGUGAUAAGAUCCGUAGUCGAAAGGGAAACAGCCCAGACCGCCAGCUAAGGUCCCAAAGUAUACGUUAAGUGGAAAAGGAUGUGGAGUUGCUUAGACAACCAGGAUGUUGGCUUAGAAGCAGCCACCAUUUAAAGAGUGCGUAAUAGCUCACUGGUCGAGUGACUCUGCGCCGAAAAUGUACCGGGGCUAAACGUAUCACCGAAGCUGCGGACUGUUCUUCGAACAGUGGUAGGAGAGCGUUCUAAGGGCUGUGAAGCAAGACCGGAAGGACUUGUGGAGCGCUUAGAAGUGAGAAUGCCGGUAUGAGUAGCGAAAGAGGGGUGAGAAUCCCCUCCACCGAAUGCCUAAGGUUUCCUGAGGAAGGCUCGUCCGCUCAGGGUUAGUCGGGACCUAAGCCGAGGCCGAAAGGCGUAGGCGAUGGAUAACAGGUUGAUAUUCCUGUACCACCUCCUCACCAUUUGAGCAAUGGGGGGACGCAGGAGGAUAGGGUAAGCGCGGUAUUGGAUAUCCGCGUCCAAGCAGUUAGGCUGGGAAAUAGGCAAAUCCGUUUCCCGUGAAGGCUGAGCUGUGAUGGCGAGCGAAUUAUAGUAGCGAAGUUCCUGAUUCCACACUGCCAAGAAAAGCCUCUAGCGAGGUGAGAGGUGCCCGUACCGCAAACCGACACAGGUAGGCGAGGAGAGAAUCCUAAGGUGAUCGAGAGAACUCUCGUUAAGGAACUCGGCAAAAUGACCCCGUAACUUCGGGAGAAGGGGUGCUCUGUUAGGGUGCAAGCCCGAGAGAGCCGCAGUGAAUAGGCCCAGGCGACUGUUUAGCAAAAACACAGGUCUCUGCGAAGCCGUAAGGCGAAGUAUAGGGGCUGACGCCUGCCCGGUGCUGGAAGGUUAAGAGGAGCGCUUAGCGUAAGCGAAGGUGCGAAUUGAAGCCCCAGUAAACGGCGGCCGUAACUAUAACGGUCCUAAGGUAGCGAAAUUCCUUGUCGGGUAAGUUCCGACCCGCACGAAAGGCGCAACGAUCUGGGCACUGUCUCAACGAGAGACUCGGUGAAAUUAUAGUACCUGUGAAGAUGCAGGUUACCCGCGACAGGACGGAAAGACCCCGUGGAGCUUUACUGCAGCCUGAUAUUGAAUGUUGGUACAGCUUGUACAGGAUAGGUAGGAGCCUUGGAAACCGGAGCGCCAGCUUCGGUGGAGGCAUCGGUGGGAUACUACCCUGGCUGUAUUGACCUUCUAACCCGCCGCCCUUAUCGGGCGGGGAGACAGUGUCAGGUGGGCAGUUUGACUGGGGCGGUCGCCUCCUAAAAGGUAACGGAGGCGCCCAAAGGUUCCCUCAGAAUGGUUGGAAAUCAUUCGCAGAGUGUAAAGGCACAAGGGAGCUUGACUGCGAGACCUACAAGUCGAGCAGGGACGAAAGUCGGGCUUAGUGAUCCGGUGGUUCCGCAUGGAAGGGCCAUCGCUCAACGGAUAAAAGCUACCCCGGGGAUAACAGGCUUAUCUCCCCCAAGAGUCCACAUCGACGGGGAGGUUUGGCACCUCGAUGUCGGCUCAUCGCAUCCUGGGGCUGUAGUCGGUCCCAAGGGUUGGGCUGUUCGCCCAUUAAAGCGGUACGCGAGCUGGGUUCAGAACGUCGUGAGACAGUUCGGUCCCUAUCCGUCGCGGGCGCAGGAAAUUUGAGAGGAGCUGUCCUUAGUACGAGAGGACCGGGAUGGACGCACCGCUGGUGUACCAGUUGUUCUGCCAAGGGCAUCGCUGGGUAGCUAUGUGCGGACGGGAUAAGUGCUGAAAGCAUCUAAGCAUGAAGCCCCCCUCAAGAUGAGAUUUCCCAUUCCGCAAGGAAGUAAGAUCCCUGAAAGAUGAUCAGGUUGAUAGGUCUGAGGUGGAAGUGUGGCGACACAUGGAGCUGACAGAUACUAAUCGAUCGAGGACUUAACCAAUUU